UGACCAGACUCCUACGGGAGGCAGCAGUGGGGAAUAUUGCACAAUGGGGGAAACCCUGAUGCAGCAACGCCGCGUGAGUGAAGAAGUCUUUCGGUAUGUAAAGCUCUAUCAGCAGGGAAGAGAAUGACGGUACCUGACUAAGAAGCCCCGGCUAACUACGUGCCAGCAGCCGCGGUAAUACGUAGGGGGCGAGCGUUAUCCGGAUUUACUGGGUGUAAAGGGAGCGUAGACGGUUCUGCAAGUCUGAAGUGAAAGCCCGGGGCUUAACCGCGGAACGGCUUUGGAAACUGUGGAACUGGAGUGCUGGAGAGGCAAGCGGAAUUCCUAGUGUAGCGGUGAAAUGCGUAGAUAUUAGGAGGAACACCAGUGGCGAAGGCGGCUUGCUGGACAGUAACUGACGUUGAGGCUCGAAAGCGUGGGGAGCAAACAGGAUUAGAUACCCUAGUA
rnacentral:rRNA from 1 species